rnacentral:rRNA from 1 species
UACGAAGGGGGGCUAGCGUUGUUCGGAAUUACUGGGCGUAAAGCGUGCGCAGGCGGCUUCUCAAGUCAGGGGUGAAAGCCCAGAGCUCAACUCUGGAAUUGCCUUUGAGACUGAGUGGCUUGAGUACGAGAGAGGUGAGUGGAAUUCCCAGUGUAGAGGUGAAAUUCGUAGAUAUUGGGAAGAACACCGGUGGCGAAGGCGGCUCACUGGCUCGUAACUACGCUCAUGCACGCAGCUGGGGGAUCAAACAGG